rnacentral:rRNA from 1 species
UACAGAGGGUGCAAGCGUUGUUCGGAUUUACUGGGCGUAAAGGGCGUGUAGGCGGAUACUUAAGUCGGGGGUGAAAGGCCAGGGCUCAACCCGGGAUGGUCUCUCGAAACUGGGUAUCUAGAGAAAGUCAGAGGCAGGUGGAAUUCCUGGUGUAGAGGUGAAAUUCGUAGAGAUCAGGAGGAACACCGGCGGCGAAGGCGGCCUGCUGGGACUUUUCUGACGCUGAGGCGCGAAAGCGUGGGUAGCAAACAGG